rnacentral:lncRNA from 1 species
AUGUCCGUUAUCUCUGCCAGGAAGACAAGCCAAGUUAUCCUUCAGACAGGAAAUGGGAUGUUGGUGGUGGCCCCAAGAAGUGCACAGACUCUGAACUGGAAGAUGAGAGACCACUGUGGAAGGGAUCCAGAGACAAAUGAACAGAACUGGUGUCAGUAUUCUGUGCUCCUGAGACACCUGAGCUCAUCUCCAAGAAUAAUUUCUAUCCUCAACUCAUACCAAAGGCAUAGCAUGGGUGCAGACUGUGAGGCUUUUCGAGAUCUGUCAGGAGGCGGACUUGAGGAGUAGCACAAUAGUGAGCAAUGUUGGGAAAAGACCAAUUACAAAAUCCUUCAUCUCCAUCAGCUUUAGUAGAAGUUAAUGGGCUAGGUGAGUAGUGGAGCAUCAGGUAUGUUUUCCAUGUGCCUUUUCUUCCUGUACACAUUCCUUACAGACUCUUCCUAUACUGGCCAGUAGAAAGGUCUAUCAGAGCCCCC